GAUGAAGAAUGUAGCGAAAUGCGAUAAGUAGUGUGAAUUGCAGAAUUCAGUGAAUCAUCGAAUCUUUGAACGCACAUUGCGCCCUUUGGUAUUCCAAAGGGCAUGCCUGUUCGAGCGUCAUUUGUACCCUCAAGCUUUGCUUGGUGUUGGGCGUCUUGUCUCUAGCUUUGCUGGAGACUCGCCUUAAAGUAAUUGGCAGCCGGCCUACUGGUUUCGGAGCGCAGCACAAGUCGCACUCACUAUCAGCAAAGGUCUAGCAUCCAUUAAGCCUUUUUUUCAACUUUUGACCUCGGAUCAGGUAGGGAUACCCGCUGAACUUAAGCAUAUCAAUAAGCGGAGGA
rnacentral:misc_RNA from 1 species